rnacentral:rRNA from 1 species
GAUGAACGCUGGCGGCGUGCCUAAUACAUGCAAGUCGAGCGAACAGACGAGGAGCUUGCUCCUCUGACGUUAGCGGCGGACGGGUGAGUAACACGUGGAUAACCUACCUAUAAGACUGGGAUAACUUCGGGAAACCGGAGCUAAUACCGGAUAACAUGUUGAACCGCAUGGUUCAACAGUGAAAGACGGUCUUGCUGUCACUUAUAGAUGGAUCCGCGCCGCAUUAGCUAGUUGGUAAGGUAACGGCUUGCCAAGGCAACGAUGCGUAGCCGACCUGAGAGGGUGAUCGGCCACACUGGAACUGAGACACGGUCCAGACUCCUACGGGAGGCAGCAGUAGGGAAUCUUCCGCAAUGGGCGAAAGCCUGACGGAGCAACGCCGCGUGAGUGAAGAAGGUCUUCGGAUCGUAAAACUCUGUUAUUAGGGAAGAACAAAUGUGUAAGUAACUAUGCACGUCUUGACGGUACCUAAUCAGAAAGCCACGGCUAACUACGUG